UACGUAGGGUCCAAGCGUUGUCCGGAUUUAUUGGGCGUAAAGAGCUCGUAGGCGGUUCGGUAAGUCGGAUGUGAAAACUCAGGGCUCAACCCGGAGACGCCAUCCGAUACUGCUGUGACUUGAGUCUGGUAGGGGAACACGGAAUACCUGGUGUAGCGGUGAAAUGCGCAGAUAUCAGGUGGAACACCGAUGGCGAAGGCAGUGUUCUGGGCCAGUACUGACGCUGAGGAGCGAAAGCGUGGAGAGCAAACAGG
rnacentral:rRNA from 1 species